CACCAAUAGCUCUCAGAAAAUUAUCAACUUUAUACAACCUGCAUUCCAUAAAAUGAUAAGUUUUUCCAUUAGCAUCCUUUUUCAUCCUCGGAACCGAAUCAAGUCCAGAGAAAGUUUCUUGUUUUCAUAACAACCGUCGAAGAUAACCAGCGGCGUUACGUUACAACGUUGAAAAUUUUGGAAGAACGUUCUGACUGUGUUUGCAUAUUGGUCAUAAUCACCUCCAUAACAAUCCACGCACUUGGCAUGCCACCGGUAGAGCUGGGCCGCUAAGUUAUUACCAUCUAUUAUUAGGUGUGUAGCGGGCGAACGAAAUGUCCUAGGGCAACGAUUCUUAUAUCAGAUUGUGUCUAGCAGGCGAACAAAUUGUCCUAGGACAACGAUUCUUUCAUCAGAUUGUGUCUAGCUGGCGAACGAAAUGUCCUAGGACAACGAUUCUUUCAUCAGAUUGUGUCUAGCGGGCGAACGCGAUGUCGUAGAACAACCUUCUUUCAUAAGUAUUCAAAUUGUAUACCAUUGUUAUAUACAACAUUUGUUUUUAAUACAAGCGGAAUCCACAGAUGUGA